rnacentral:lncRNA from 1 species
AUGUGGACAAAGUAUUGUGAAAGCUAUAAUCAAGGCAACACGAGAAUUUUGGGUGGGCUAUCAAAGCUUACCUUCAAAGGUUACCUUGUGUGCUUGCUGGAAAGGAAAUUUGACGUGACCCAGCAAGAAUUGUCAUGCGAAGAGGAUGGAUUAUUGAUGAAGAGAAAGAAUAAGCAUAGACUCCCCGCUUCCAUUUCUGUUUUAGAGUUCAUGUUGGGGGGCCAUAUGCAGAAAGUUUAUCGUCAAGCCACUGCCCUAACAAGUCAAAGAAAUGACCCAGCGUGGAGGCAUUUUGAUCGAAAGCCCAGUGUAACAGAGAGAGAGAGAUCUUGCACCACAGAUACUUUUUGA